AGUGAACGCUGGCGGUAGGCCUAACACAUGCAAGUCGAACGGCAGCACAGUAAGAGCUUGCUCUUACGGUUGGCGAGUGGCGGACGGGUGAGGAAUACAUCGGAAUCUACUUUUUCGUGGGGGAUAACGUAGGGAAACUUACGCUAAUACCGCAUACGACCUACGGGUGAAAGCAGGGGAUCUUCGGACCUUGCGCGAUUGAAUGAGCCGAUGUCGGAUUAGCUAGUUGGCGGGGUAAAGGCCCACCAAGGCGACGAUCCGUAGCUGGUCGGAGAGGAUGAUCAGCCACACUGGAACUGAGACACGGUCCAGACUCCUACGGGAGGCAGCAGUGGGGAAUAUUGGACAAUGGGCGCAAGCCUGAUCCAGCCAUACCGCGUGGGUGAAGAAGGCCUUCGGGUUGUAAAGCCCUUUUGUUGGGAAAGAAAAGCAGCAGGUUAAUACCCCGCUGUUCUGACGGUACCCAAAGAAUAAGCACCGGCUAACUUCGUG
rnacentral:rRNA from 1 species